CCUACGGGUGGCUGCAGUGGGGGAUAUUGGACAAUGGGGGAAACCCUGAUCCAGCGACGCCGCGUGAGUGAAGAAGUAUUUCGGUAUGUAAAGCUCUAUCUGCAGGGAAGUAAGAAAUGACGGUACCUCUGUAAGAAGUCCCGGCUAACUACGUGCCACCAGCCGCGGCAAUACGUCGGGGGCAAGCGUUAUCCGGAAUGACUGGGUGUAAAGGGAGCGUAGACGGUAAUGCAAGUCUGGAGUGAAAGUAGGGGGCCCAACCCGCGGACUGGGCGGGAAACUGGGUAACUGGAGUGCAGGGGAGGCAGGCGGAAUGACUGGUGUAGCGGUGAAAUGCGUAGAUAUUAGGAGGAACACCGGGGGCGAAGGCGGCCUGCUGGACUAUAACUGACGUUGAGGCUCGAAAGCGUGGGGAUCAAACAGGAUUAGAUACCCGAGUAGUC
rnacentral:rRNA from 1 species